GAUGAAGAACGCAGCGAAAUGCGAUAAGUAAUGUGAAUUGCAGAAUUCAGUGAAUCAUCGAAUCUUUGAACGCACCUUGCACCCUUUGGCAUUCCGAAGGGUAUGCUCGUUUGAGUGUCAUUGUACUCUCACACUUCCAAUCUUUGGAUUGGGAGCGGUGGACUUGGGUGUUGCUGCUUACUGUGGCUCACCUCAAAUCGAUUCGUGCACCUCUUGGUUGGACAUAGUACGGCGUGAUAAGUGUCUUCGCCGGCACCUCAGUAGAGGGUGGCUGAUCAGGGGCUCUGUGCUUCAAACCGUCCUCGGACAACAACUGACAACUUGACCUCAAAUCGAGUAGGACUACCCGCUGAACUUAAGCAUAUCAAUAAGCGGAGGA
rnacentral:misc_RNA from 1 species